GCAGAUAUGGCCGAGUGGUUAAGGCGACUGACUCGAAAUCAGUUUCCAUCUUGGAGCGUAGGUUCGAAUCUUACUAUCUGCG
rnacentral:tRNA from 1 species